GAUUUAUACAGAAGAAGGGAGAGUCAGUACUCGUUGAACUUCUAGCAACUUUCCAUAGGAAAAAGUGCUCAAACUGAUCUAGCAAUAGAUUAUAAAUU
rnacentral:ncRNA from 2 species